rnacentral:rRNA from 1 species
UACGUAGGGGGCAAGCGUUGUCCGGAUUUAUUGGGCGUAAAGAGCGUGUAGGCGGCCAUACAGGUCCGUUGUGAAAACUGGAGGCUUAACCUCCAGACGUCGAUGGAAACCGUAUGGCUAGAGUCCGGAAGAGGAGAGUGGAAUUCCUGGUGUAGCGGUGAAAUGCGCAGAUAUCAGGAAGAACACCCGUGGCGAAGGCGGCCUGCUGGGCAGUAGCUGACACUGAGGCGCGACAGCGUGGGGAGCAAACAGG